GCAAGUCGAGGGGUAACAGAUAUAAAGCUUGCUUUAUAUGCUGACGACCGGCGCACGGGUGCGUAACGCGUAUGCAACCUACCUCAUACUGGAGCAUAGCCCUUGGAAACGGGGAUUAAUACUCCAUGGUAUCAUGAAUUCGCAUGUUUUUAUGAUUAAAGAAUUUCGGUAUGAGAUGGGCAUGCGUCCCAUUAGCUAGUUGGUGAGGUAACGGCUCACCAAGGCGACGAUGGGUAGGGGGCCUGAGAGGGUGGUC
rnacentral:rRNA from 1 species